AUGGCGGGGAGAGGAGAAUUGGUCUUUAUUGUUGACGGCAAUACAUCAAUUACUGGCCAUUGUCUCGGGCCCAAGUUCCGUGAUUCGCAGACGCGGGCGCCGCACUGUCAGGGCGCGCGGGUGAGGCUUCGUGUGCCGCGAGGCAAGAAAUAAUUAAAUUAAUAGAAACGGAGACAGAGUGGGGGUUGAUUUCUACUUUUGAGCGGGUCGAUAGAAGGCACCGAGUGAGGUGCCACAGCUGGAGCCCAUCCCCACGUCCUGCUCACCCAAGAGACCUGUGCGCUCUAUGGGGUUCGCAAGUCCCAGCCUUGGGUGGGGCAGCUGCUGGGGAACUUGGGCAGACGGGGCUCGGACUUGCCGUUUCCACCGAGGGCCUGGCACUGAAGUCUUGAUCCACUUUAAGGAAUGGGGGUGGCCCGAAGUGUGGCAGCAGCUGCGAAAGGGUCGUGACCUCGUGGGCCGCCAAGAAUCUUACCCAGAGGAGGUGCUUGGAGAGUUGUACAAACUCACAUUUUGGGGGCUUGAUGCCUAUGUUUCUACCAAUACGUCCCCUCAGUUUUCCCAAGACCUACAGCGUCCUUGGUGGGUUUGGCGGGGCUGAAGGGUUGCGUCCCAGGGCCACAGACCACAACUGAGUUCCCCGCCAAGGGAGUUCCCAGCCUCUCCGCUUCAUCCCCUGAUGCUGGGAAGGGGAGAGGGUGUUGAGCCUCCUUUUCCCGAGGCCUGGUUCUGCCACCCGCAAAAUAUCUUAUUCUGGCCCAGUCUGACCCCAGGUUUGGGAUGGAGCCUGGAAUGAGGCCUGGCCUGGACCCUCCUCUUUUCCACCAGCGCGGGUUUGACACUCUACCCUGGAACUGAAGGACGCCCCCACGCGCCCCGCCAGCGCCCCUGCUUCUUCAGCCCACCGGCCCCAGGCCCCGCUGGCCCCCCGGGCCAAGGCUAGGAGGGUAGGAGAGAAGGUUUCGUUUUCUCAUGCCAAGCAGAAAGCGGCGAAAAGGCGGCAGCGGCGUCCCAGGGACGGGAGUGGAGGCACAUUGAUGGUAUCAACAUUAUUGAUGGGGAAAUAUUAGGGGCUGGAGCCCGGAGAUCAGGUUCCCAGUCCCUCCCCUACCCGGAGGUGGGAGGGACAGAGUGGGUGGUGGUAGUGGCCACCGUGGUGGCGGUGAAGGCGGUGGUGAUCCCAGGUACUUCGCUUCCCCGAGAGUUUCAGAAACUGCUUCCUUAUCCGAACUGCUGUCGCUCAAAUCCUAACCUCUCCUCGGCCGCUGGAGAAGCUUCGAACCCGAGGCCUGGGGAAGAGGCUCUGGGCCAUCUCCACGCCGGCAUUUAGCAACUGACUUUGCUGGCGACCGCAAGUGCAUGUGAUUUGUACUUUCCAUCCACACUGAGCAUCUUGCACUUUAAUUCGCUGCGCCCUGCAUGCAACAGUGCCUCGCUAAGGGGUCUCAGGGUAUAAAAUUCCUCCCAAAGGAAAUGUCUCGAAGUAGAGAAAGUGGAAAAGACUAAUCGAAUUUAUAAAAAGAAAACCUUUGCUUCCCUUUGGUUAAAAUCCCUUUGCGGUUUUCUGAGCUUGAAAAAAAAAGUCAUCAAGACGCAAAAGAGUGUAGUUAAUUCCUGGAACCUAUCAGUAGGAUGUCCAGGAAGCCCAGCAGGGCUCACAGAUUCUCAUCUUCGAGCUGAGCUCAAGAAGUGGGACUUUGGGAUCCAGUGACUAGUAAUCAGUUCUUAUAUGUUAUCUGUUGGGAAUAGGCGUGGGGUCUGUGGAACCCUGGACUCUGUGUGCAUUUGGGGGUGUGCCUGGGGCGGGGGUCUGCCAGGAAACUCAUUUUCAUUCAUAAAAGAGAUCCAGGCAAAUGACUUCCCUAUGGGACUCCUAGAUGAACUAGUUUAGCAAAUCUCUUGCAACAAAUUAAAAAAUAUACACGUAUACUCUGCCUUUUUCUCCAGUAAAAGGUCCCUUUUUAAAGAACAAGAUCAACAAUUCCCAAAGGGAGGUGCAUCUUGGUUUUAUAAAAAAAAAAAAACUGCAUACAGUGAGGCCCUGCCUGGGGGUGCCUUCUCUUCGGUCAGUGCUCACAGAGGAAGGCACCCUUUGGUUUCUGUUUGAUCAAUCAAAUAGCCACAUGGAGUUUCAGAACCAUUCUGGGGUCCUGGCCCUUCUCUGCCUGGCAACCUGUGAGCAAGGCCUGAAUGUCACUCACAUUAUGGGUAAUUUACCAAUCCUACAAGUCUCAGCUGAGCUAUGACUUUCUUAGGGAAUAUUUCUCUCUACUGAGAAAGUGCUUUCUCUGAGGAAGAGAGGUAUUUCUUCUUGGGGCUACAGUGAGUCAGAGUUGUAGCUUUACCUGGUCCCCAUGGCAAACUUCAAUUCAUCCAUCCUGUGCAUCCUUUCUAGAUUCAUAUUGUAAUGAAUUAAAAAAAAAAAAAAGGCAGGGGAUAACCCACCCCUCCCUUCUUCUUUCACCUUUUCCAACUCCAGGAAAUUUUCUAAAUCGUUGCACUGUUAGUUCUUUCUCCCAAUGUUCACCCUCAUCUCGCCAACCAUGGUGACCACACCGUUCUUUCCAACUUAAAUAUCCAGUUUAACAUGGAGUUUUACAUUUCAGAGACUAACAUCUCCCAGUUCCAAACCUGCGUCUCCCUGCUAACUUGUGCCUUCUCAAAACAGAAGCAAUUAUCUCUUAAGUUACAAUCCUGAAACCAUCAACACCUACACAUUAAUGUCAGGAACUAGCACCAACUUUUUCUUCUUCUCCCUGUUUAUAACUCUCAUUCUGUCCCAGCCUCUUUUCUUCAUCCUGGCCCCCCCCCUCAGCCUCCAGACUCUUUGACAUAUUUUAUAGUAAAACCCAAUCCCUGGAAGCCUUGCUCAGAAUCUUACUCAGGUUGUAAUGGAUGUAACUUUUGCUUAGAACUUGGCUCAGGACUUGCUGUGGCAUUUCCCUGGCCCUGAAAACGGGAUGAUGCUGGCAAAUCUCUCCUUCUCCAACCCAAACGAAAAGAUUUCAGGAGCAUGGGGAUGGAAACAUUUUCCAGGCUUGUUUUUAUUUUCUCUUUCCCUCCUGGACCCCAGAACACCUCUCGUUUGGGAGAAUUGUGCUGAGAAAACCAGCCUCUUAACUCAGCCCCCUGUGGCCCCCUGACAAUCUCUCUUCUCCUGAACUCAGAUAUUUGCCAUAGACAAGCUUUUUUCAUCAUCCUGCUUGGGUGUUGGAGUCAGGCUAUUGGUGUUUCCAUCCUGGCCGUGUCAUUUGACAGUGUCCUGGGAACAUAGUCCUAGGUAUGCACCCAUGUGGUGGGCAGCUUUGGUCAAAUUAAUUGCACUCCCCUGUUUCCUGCCCUAUAAAAUGUAGCUAAUAGAGAGGAAACAUAGAGCUUAAGAGCAUCCUACAAGGACUCAGCUUUGCCUCCUCCUAGCAGUGUGACCUUCACAUACCUCCAACAGUUUCUCAUCUGUUAAAUGGAGAUAAUAGUCCCGUUUUCCUGGAGCUUUUGAGGGUUAAAAGAGUUAAUAUGUAUGAAGACUUUAGAAUAGUGGCUGGUACAAAAUUAGUACCACAUAAGCGUUAACUAUUAUUGUUAUUACCUCACAGGCUUGUUGUGGGGAUCAAAUGGACGAUAUAGUUAAAAUAUCAUUCUCUCUUUAUCUAUACAUCCAUUGACUCAUUUAUUCAUUCACUCUACAGAGUAACAUGCAAGGUAUGGGGGUACAACUAUGAAACAAACACCCUCAUUCCUUUUCUUGCUUACAGACAAUCAAACCGAUGAUUUCCUGGGAGCAUGUUAUGAUCGCCUGGCUCAGUGUUGGGGCAGAGGGGAACAGUAUAAGAGCAAAGGUAGAACCGUGUGUGAUCUCAGGGAAUUUCUAUAUUCGAACGGGAACUCCCUACUAAUAAAGACAAUUGAAACUAGAGCAGGUUGUGCAUGAGCCCAAGCCCUAUCGUGCAUGUGGGUCCUUUGGGCCAGGGGCAGAUCAUCUUCUUGCUUCUAGAAGGUUCCUGAGGAAUGGUGCACAUGUAAGUGGCUUGCUGCUUAGAUGCCAGCCAGUAUGCACCUGGUUGUUUUAUUUGGCUCACAUAUUUGUCUUUUUGAUUGUGCGGCCUCCUCUGAGUUGUGCAGAAAAACAAAACGAUAAAACGGGUGCUGUUUUCCUUUGGGCCCUUUGAAAGGUAUAAAUCACUUACAGUGUUUACUCUGGCCUUCCGUUUCUGGCUUUUUGGCUUUCCAUUUUUGUUGGAUUAUAAAAAUUAAUCAUGCUCAACACCAUAGAGCAUUCUGUAGUCAGAUCGAAUGAUGGACAUGGAAAACCGUCCUGUCAUCUUGUCCUCUUCUCCCCAGGUGUGUGUCUGUUCUGGACACAGAGCCUCAGAUGGCUGCUGCGUGGACCAACUUAGUUAUUAUAACCAUGUUGUGACCAAAUGUAACUUCACAUUGAUGGGCAGAAUGCAAAGUCCUCUUGUGAACCCCCCCCCCCACUUUGUGCUUUGAGAUUAAAACACAUUUUAUGGUUAGAAUCUGGAAAGAGAAUGAGGGCGUCUGAGCAAAAAUACCUGUUAGCAGUGGCGUUGUUGUGUAAACCAGGAGAGACAAUAGCCCAUGUGCACUGGUUUCGAUGGAGUAACGGCUUCCUUGGGAAGCAUCUGACAGCAAAUGGAGUUUAAGACAGUAGAAGAUGUCAGUGAGUGGGGAGUGAGGUUUCUUCCCCUGCUCCCGGAAUGGAGGGAGCAGACUCGAUUUAAUCUGUCACUUGAUGUCCUUCUCCUCAAAAAUAGUGCCCGGGGGGCCUCAGGGGCUUUAUUUAGAGGCUCUCAGGAGCUUGGCAGUAUGUAAAUUAUGCCUGAGUGUCCUUCAUAGUUCCCGGUGGUCACAAUCAGAGGGAUUUAAACAUGAUUUAGGCUUUCAAAUGAUUUGUGGGAGCAUCGGAGCCAGCCGGCACCGUAGCGAUGGCCCAGGCGGGGUCUCUCACUGUUGCAUGAAACAGGUCUCCGUGGCUUGGUUGUUCUGUCCUUUCUCCUCCUGGCCUCGGAGUUGAUUGAUGAGUAGCCACCCCCUCCACUCACACCACCCUCGGUGUUGGUGGGUGGCCUCCCAAAUAUCUUUCCUAUAUCAGGCAGCUCUGAGAUUUUUUCAAAAUGGAAGGUUUUACAACUUUAAAAAAAUAACAUUCAAUCUAUAGUGUCUGCAAAGCCUCCCAUUCAUUCAUUCAUUCAUUCAUCCAUUUGACCAACUUUAAUUGAGCACCUACUAUCUGCUCAGUAUUUCAGGCAUGGAGGAUAUAAUCAUGAACAAGACAGAUAAUGUCUCUGGUCUUCUAGAGCCAAUAUUCUAAUGAAGGGGAUAGAUGUAAAGAAAUUUCUGUAGAUUCAGAGAAACGUAAGAACUUUAGAGUGCAUGAAACUAUACAGUGAUGGAGAGUGACUUGCGUGGAGUCACAAGGAGAAUGAUUGGGGGGGUCGGGGAAGGCCUCUGAGAAAGUGACAUUGGUGUGGAGAUGUGAGUGAUGAGAAGGUGUCAGCGAUUUCGGGAUACGAGCCUUCUGGGCCAAGGAAAGAGCAAGUGCAAAGAUGCUGGGCAGGCAAUGGGCUUGGAAAAGUUGGCACCUUUCUCUUCUCUUUUCCUCUCUUCCGCCUCAUUAUACUUUCAGGCAGAUUAGGGAAAUUUAAUAAUCUUUUUUAAGGUUUUUCCAGUUGAGUGGAUGAAACAAAUUAUGGUAUAUCCAUGCAAUGGAAUAUUACUCAGCCACAAAAAAGGAAUACACUGUUAAUACUUAUGUUGAUGUGGAUGAAUCUCAAAAGUAUUACACUGAGUGAAAGAAGCCAGAACAAAAAAAGUAUGUAUUGGAUCACUUCAUUCAUAGACCAUUUUAGAAAAUGCAAACCAAUUUAUAGUGACAGAAAAAAAAUUAGUGAUUUCAUUGUUACUUGGGGAUGGAGGGGGAGGAAGGAGAGAUUGUUAAGGGGCACAAGGAAACUUUUGGGGCUAACUGAAAUGCCUGCCCUCUUGAUUACAGUUUCACAGUUAUAUACAUAUUUUGAAACUGAUCAAAUUGUAUACUUUACAUAUGUGUGCUUCAGUAUACUUAAAUCAUAGGUCAAUAAAAUUGAAAAAUUAGGCUUUUCAUUUCAAACAAUGUUGGAAAUGGAUGUUCUAGAUAAGGAAUUUAAAGAGAAGAUGGCAAUUGCCACUGUCAUAAUUAAACACUUGAACCCUAAAAGUCCUGGGAGCUUGGUCACAUUUAAUCUUGAAACAAGUAUUAGCUUGAGUGGGGAUGGCACUGGGAUUGGCGCUUACCUUGACCCUGGAAAAAGCAUGAAGAUUGCCUUGUGGUUUUCCAAGCAAACAAAAAGUCAACUCUGAAGUCAGAAGGAGAAGGGACAGUCUUAGAAUUAGAGGACUUAUUGGUGAUGAGAGAGAAAGUCACAGCCCCCAGUGGCAGGUGCAUCCAGGUGGAGUUCAGAGUCUGAGGCUGCACUAACCCUAUUCAAACUGACUUAUGGGUUAUUGAUUGGAUGAUUAUUUUGGAAUGCCAUAGACCAUGGCUUGGUCAUGAAGGACGAUUUUUGGUGAAGGACCAGCUUUUUUUUUUUCCUCCAAUAUAUCAUGGACCAAUGUUUUUGUUAAAAUACAAUAAAAUAUAUUACUAGGAAAAAUGGAAUAGAAAACAGAGUUACACAAAAUAUAAGCCCAAAACUGUAUUACAGGCAUACCUCAGAGAUAAUUGUGGGUUUGGUUCCAGACCACUGCAAUAAAGCAGAUAUCGCAAUAAAGCACAUAUCACAAUAAAGUGAGUCACACAAAUGUUUUGGUUUCCCAGUGCAUAUAAAAGUUAUGUUUACACUAUGCUGCAAUCUACAAAGUGUGCAAUAGCAUUAUGUCUAAAAAAAGUACCUACCUUAAUUAAAAAGACUUUAUUGCUAAAUAUGCUAACCAUCAUCUAAGCCUUUGGUAAGUUAUAGUCAUAACAUCAAAGAUCACUGAUCAAGGAUCACCAUCACAAAUGAAAAUGAAAAAAGUCUGAAAAAUUGCGAAAAUUACCAAAAUGUGACACAGAGACACGACGUGAGCAAAUGCUGUUGGAAACUUGGUGCCAACGGACUUAAACAAGAUGCGGUGUUGCCACAGUUUGUGAAAAGUGAAGUAGCUGCAAAGCGCCAUCAAACAAGAUAUGCCCGAUGAGAAAACUGAGGCUCUCGAGUAAUUUCUCUGGCACCAAAAAGCUUUGGAGCUGCUGGAUGCCUAAAACCAGGUCUCAUGACAUCUUUAUGAGAAAACGAAACUACACUAAAUGGAGCUAAAUGACAACAAAAACGAUUUCAAGUUUUAGGAAGCCCAAAUGAGAAAAGGACUUGGGCUGGGAUUUUGGAGUUCACCGGGUGGACAUAAUCUGGACCGCCAUCUCGAGUUAAAAGGAUCGGAAGAUACAGCUUGAGGGUUCAGGCUGAUUAAAAUCUCAGAGCUGCAGUAUAAACAGGAUGCAGACACAUUGUUUGUUGGAAAUUGGGACUCACCUUCAAGCUGGAGCCAGUGCACUCACAGGAGAAGCAAGGCUAUGGUACAGAGGAAACCAUUCCGUGGGUAUGUGUAGAAAACCAUCCAAGCCACGGGACACCACAGGUGUAUUCGUUUUUAUUGAACUCACAAGAUUUCCCGUAGAGCCUGCAGAACAUUAAAGGAUGAUGAUUUCUCUUCUAGAGAGAGGUCCGAUGUCUUUAAUUCAGGAGCUUGAAACUUUUUCGAACAUGACCCACUCUUAAAAAAUACAUUUUACACCAGGAUUCUAGUACACAUUAACAUGUGUCUUACUGAAACAAGGGUUUCCGAAAACAAAAGCUUGCCCUUCCUCUGGUGACACGUUCUUUUUUUUUUUUUUUUUUUUUUUUUAACAUUUUUUAUUGAUUUAUAAUCAUUUUACAAUGUUGUGUCAAAUUCCAGUGUAGAGCACAAUUUUUCAGUUAUACAUGAACAUAUAUAUAUUCAUUGUCACAAUUUUUUUUCUCUGUGAGCUACCAUAAGAUCUUGUGCAUAUUUCCCUGUGCUAUACAGUAUAAUCUUGUUUAAAUAUUCUACAAUUUUGAAAUCCUGUCUAUCCCUUCCCACUCUCCGCCCCCUUGGCAACCACAAGCUUGUAUUCUAUGUCUAUGAGUCUAUUUCUGUUUUGUAUUUAUGCUCUGUUUGUUUGUUUGUUUUAGAUUCCACAUAUGAGCGAUCUCAUAUGGUAUUUUUCUUUCUCUUUCUGGCUUACUUCACUUAGAAUGACAUUCUCCAGGAGCAUCCAUGUUGCUGCAAAUGGCGUUAUGUUGUCAGUUUUUAUGGCUGAGUAGUAUUCCAUUGUAUAAAUAUACCACAUCUUCUUUAUCCAGUCAUCUGUCAAUGGACAUUUAGGCUGUCUCCAUGUCUUGGCUAUUGUAAAUAGUGCUGCUAUGAACAUUGGGGUGCAGGUGUUAGGUGAUGCAUUCUUAACACGAUGGUUCCCCACAUGCGGUCCUGAACCAGCGGCAGCAGGCACCUGGGAAGUCAUUAGAAAUGCAGGUUCUUAGCCCCACACCCCCUCAAAGAGAGGCUGGAUCAUAAGUUCUGGUUGUGAUUCUGGUAUACGCUAAAAUUUGAGAAUGACUACAUAAAAAAUAUUAUAUGAUUUUAAUCUAUUUAAUUUUUUUUAAAAAAGUGUUUGUAAGCCACCAAUUUGGGGGUAGCUUAAAACUACCUUUAGAAAAACUCAGAGGCUCCCCUGGGCUCCUUCCUUCUUCCCUUCCCAAACUCAUCUCUAGCAUCUGCCCUUUCCAACCUUGCUCCAGGCAGCCCCAGCCAACUGCAGCCAGGCCCACCUCCUUUCUGGUUCUCAAACUCAGCCUUUCCCCUUCUGAAUCUCUGCGUUAUACACCCCUGUAGGAUAGCUCCCCCCCUCCACACUUGCAGGGCUGGCUCAAGCUCCAUGAGGGUUCUUGGCUCAGGUGCUCUUCCUGAGACUAGCCUGUCUCCCUGGGUGGGUCUCAGCCCGUCUCUUUUCCUUCGUCAUCACCCUUAGCACAGCUGAUACUGAUCAGCCUCCAGCUGACCCAGGCUGCUGAGAACAAUGCCUGGCAUAUAGUAGGUCCUCAAUAAAUAUUUGUUGAAGGAAAGAAAGAAUUAAUGAGUAACUGUCAACCACACGUACCUGGGAAUACCUCAUCAUCCCUGGAGAAGCAUUUCCAGUCCACAAAGCCUGGCUCCCCUCUCCGACCUGGCCUUUUCUGGUGAGACACCUUGCCACUGUCUUGGAAGGGGAGAGAAGGAAACUGAGAAUCCCCUCUCCUGAUGUUCCUUGCCUUGCCCUUCCUCCACCGUUCUGCUGUGUAAUAUUUAAAUCAGGGAAAUGACGAGCGAGAAGCCCAAGAAUCAAGUUACGGCACCGGGGUUCAAGGCAGGGUUCACUGCACAGCCUGGCUGCUGGGCUGCUGGACGUUAGGCAAGCCCAUUAAUGCCUUUAGGCUCAGUACCACUGGGGUCACGAAACCCCAGCUCAAGCUCAUUUAUAGAGUCGUCAAGGGUCAAAUAGGAGAGAACUUGUGAACAUACCUUGUAUUCCAAAGCCUUCACACCCUGAACAGCUAAGGGACCGACCCAUAAGCCACGUUUGUAAUAUUAAGCAAGACUCUCCCAAGGAAACUGCAAGAGCGUGGACAGCGAGCAAACUUGAAAAUACCUACAUGCAUGGCUCCGAAAAGGAGUGCCUGGAGCCUCCAGGUCUACAGGAGGGCUUGGGUGAUUUGCAUAAUAAUUUGCAUAUACUUUGCCUAUCAGUUGAGGUAAGUGGCUGAUCCCUUCUCCAACCAUCCUUGGCCUCUUCACUUUCGUGGCCUCCCCCCACCCCCACCAAUGGAGCCCAGCCUGGAAAAAUGGUGGGUUGGGCUCCCUCUGGGGGCCCCCACUGCCUGCCCUUUCCCCCCAAAAGCAGGUCUGGGGGUGAAUCUGGCUCAGCCCGGAGAGGUCCUGUGCCUGAUGGGUGGCGGGCCUUCAGCGCGGCUGAGAUUUCACAGUCAAAACCAUUAAAGGUUAUUCUCCUUUUAAUUCUUUGUGGUUGUUCUUGCUCCUGCUUUUGAGAAACCUCCUAUUUUCACUUGUGAGACGCUCGGCUGUGCUUGUCACGCCCUAAGAGGUGAUUUCAGUUCUCCGAUGCCAAAGAGCCUUUUCUGCUAAUCAAAACACAGCUGCAGAGGCCCAUAUGAUCUGCUAAUGGGCACCCCAACUCCGGGGUAUGUCUGUCUGUACCUGGGGAAAUAGAUAUAAUUAGGAUAACAGAUAUCAUAUGUAUAUGCAAAUGCAGCAGGUAAAAAUGACUAGCAGGGGAGAUGGGGGUGGGGUGGGGCUGGCAUUUGCCAAAUCCCAUCAGACCAGCCGUGCAGCUUAACCAGGGACCGACCCCAUCACUAGUCCACGCCUUCCCCAGAACCAGCGCUGGUGCCCUCUCUGCAACGCCUUUUCUCCCCUACGCUGAACCGCUCAUGGAAAGUAUUGUUCUUCUUCAUGUCAAAAUAGAUCCCCACACUUUUCUGAAAAAAAGUUCUUUCAGUAGCCCCAGACCUGGCGAGGCUGCAGGAUUCUUAGCAUCUGGGAGCAAGUGAGGAAAAGAGGGACCAGAAGAGACUUCCUCUCUGAUGUUUUGCCUUUAGUAAGGGUUCUGUUUCCCAGAGUAGGAGCAUCCUGACCAAAGAGGACCUGGCAAAUCAUGACUAAGACCUGAUUGCCUUUUUCAAGGGGAACCACCCUGUGAGGGGAGCCUGGAAGUUUGGUGUCAGGAGUCAGAAGGCCUGGGUUUACGUUGUGUGUCUGCUUCUUCCUGGUGGGGUGAACCUGGGCAAGUGACGUACCUCUCUGUGCCUCAGGCCCCUCACCCUAAAAUGGGUUUCAUAUCAGUAACUACUUGAAAGGACCUGGCAAGCUUCAAGCUCUCGGGUAAUGUCCUUUGUAAUGGGUUUGUGGGAGGGGGAAGAGUGUCAACGGUCAGGCCCAGGUCCUCACUCCACCAUAUCCAUCCAUCUGUGUGCUCUUGGAUAAAUCACUUCACGUCUCUGAGCCUCAGUUUUCUCAUAUUUAAAAUGGACUAAUAUUUGCCUACUUUCCUGGGCUAUUAGAGGAUCGAAGAGGCAGUGAAUAGAUGUCAUGGUGUCUAACAGCCAACAACAGAAGCUAGUUAUGUAUAUAGAGUAAUGCAUCUCUUGGGAGCUCCAAGCCUGAAGUCAUGGGUUGAAGAUGGGUUGAAGAGGACCUGGCUCCCAUCCAGCCUGUUGAAAUUACUCAGAGCAGUGCAGGCAGACGACAUGGGCACUGACUUUUACCAAGCUGUGCAGACAUUCACGGUGGGCAUCCAACCUCUACCCAGUUACAAGAUUCUGCAUGUGGACCUCCGACUUUUGUCUUGGGGUUGGGACCUAGGCCAUUUUCAUUUCUGGAUGCCUUGUGCCUAGCACGGUGCCUAGUGCAUUGUAGAUGCUCGAGAAAUAGUCGUUGGUUGUCUGAAUCAAUGGAUGAAUCAAUGUUGAAUCACAUUCUAAAUUUAUGUCUCUGCCCUAUGGGCAGCGAAGAGAUGGCUGUCAGAGUCCUUGUCCCUCUACAAAUGUUGAGAACAAUACUUGUAUAGGGCAGGUGGACUUUGGUGUCAGAACCAUUCAAAUCUUGGCCUUGCCAUAUCUUAGAAGUGGUUCAAACCUUGUUUGAACUUCAGUUUAAGAAAACUGACUGAACCUCAGUUUGCCUCAUCUCUAAAAGGGGGAUAAAAACCAUACCUUCUUUAUAAGGUUAUGGUGCAGAGUUCUUAAACUUGUACUUGCCAGUGUCUGUGUGUUCCCACAAGGCUGGGGAGAGAAACUGAGGUGGAUCUCUUUCCUCCCUUUCCACCCUUCUUCCCUAAUCACUACACGGAUGCUGGGGGUAUUUCAGACCCGGUCCAGUCCCAAGCCCCGGAAGUGAUUCUGAUCCUUUAUCUAACUGUGGCAUUGAUGUUUUUUAUUCUUGUUGAAGGCAUCAAUAUUCGUUCAAUAGUAUAAGUCUUAAAUAAGCAUCUUUUAAACGACAUACUACAGAUGAUGAAAGUCAUUUCCGCACAGAAGAUUAUCUCACACGAUCAUGUUUCCAUCGUUAUCUGGGGCCUCUGUACUUGGCAAAUCUCUGGAGCUACUUAAAUGAUAACAUUAGUCCUAAUACUGUGUAAAAUGACUAGUUCCUCGGGGUAGGUUUAUUUUUAAUAGUGUAUGUCAGCAGCAAAUAGCUCGGAAGACCCCAGAGGAAAAAGCACAGCUCAUGCGCUCACUGAAGUGAUGAUAUGGAUAUAUUUAAUAUCUAUAUUAAAAACCUUUUAGGAGCCAUGGUGAUAUUGAACUGGAUAGUCAGACAUGUUCAGGCAAAAUCCUGGGCCGUUUAUAGGGCACGAUGCAGUGUGCGUUACAGAAAUCUUUUGAGGUUGUUCAAAGUCAAAUCUGGGCUUCAGAAAUCUUUGACAGACAUUUGACCUCAGUAGUAAAAUACUCUGAAACACGCUAAGAGAAUAAAAUCGCUUCCUUUUCUUUUUUGUGAGUCUGUUGAUAAGUUUGCUGCGCUAUUAAAAUGUUUAAUCGCUCGCCUCCAGCAAGAGCAACCUUCCAUCUGAAGUUACAGUUUAUUAGAGGUCCCGAAACUUACUGCUAUUUCCCCAAAAGAUGGCUGGGGGACCCUUACAGGGAAAACAAACCACAAGCUGACAUCAAGCAUAGAGUCACAGAUAAAUGGAUUGAAAAUAAAUAAAAAAAUAAAUACUUUGAGAUCGAUGUCGGGGAGAUCGUGUGAAAUUUGCACCAAAGCUCCUAACCUGAAUGGACAGGGUUAAGCUGUGGAGUGCCCAGAGAUCCAGCCUGAGCUGCAGCCCUGAGACAGCCGCAGAAAGAGGUACUAGCCUGGACCAGGGAGGGGAUGAUGGGGGUGCUCACUAGAGGUCUGUACCUUCCAAGAUGGAAUUCCUCUCUGCUUCAGGGCAUGGUCAAGGGAAGCCCAGACCACAAGGGCAAUGAACAGAGGCCCAGUUUCAGUGAUGCUCACCGUCCCUUCCCUCUGGCUUUUGUAGGUAUGGUCCUCUGGCCUUUCAGAUUUAACUGAAAGCAAACUGAGUUCUGCGGCAGAGGAUUGGGUUAUGGAAACUGCAGCCUUCUUGGGGUGGCCUCAUUGGCACAACACCAUGGACCUCACCUGUGGAGGAAGGAGUGCAGAGGCCUCUUGGAUGACCACAAAGAAUUAACUCCUUUUGAUAACUGGGCAUCCCAGACUGUGCCUUGAAGGAUACCUAACAGUAAUGAGUCAACUCGGAAGUAUGAGGUCACAAGUCUCCAAAAAUUGAGGUAUAGAGAUACAGGGAAUUCCCCAUAUAGCAUCCUGGGUCCUUGUUAUCCAAAGAGCUAAAAUUCAUUUUAAAAACUGGAUAAUUCUUUCCCAAACUUGGUGAAGAGGAAUAACAAUAGCAGGAAAGGGCACCAUAGCCCAAUAUAAUUGGGAAAUUAUACAACUCAAAGAGUCACAUAGUCUGUCGAUGGCUCUGAUACGUCCAGAAGUGAAAACCUAGCCAACAAAAUUACUUUCACUCUGCUCAACCCAGCAUUUCCCCAGAUCAUUUGGCUGGGCUUUCCUUUCUUCACUUCCUCACCUUCCUCAUAAGAAUCCCUGUGUGGCAGGCGGAAUUCUAACAAUGUUCAUCCCUUUCCAAGAUUCUCUUCUUCUGGUUAUCUGAUCAAUCCUAAUGCAGGUACUGUUGUGAAGGAAUUGUGUAGAUGGAAGGAAAGUGCAGGUACAUUGACCUUAUGACGGGGAGAUUGUCUGGGUGAGUCUGACCCUAUCAGUGGAGCCCUUGAUUAAAACAGUGAGAAGGACCUGAAGUCCCCUCACUGUCUUUGAAGGUGAACAGGCCAUAUAGGAAGGAACGUGAGUGGCCUGGAGAAGCCGGGGUGACCACCCCCAACGCCUGCUGAGAGCCAGCAGAGAUGGGAGGACAUUAGACCUGCAGCUACAAGGAACAAGAUUAUGCCGACAACCUCAGUGACGCUGACAGCAGAUUCUUCCAGAGCUACCAGGAAAGAGUCCACCUUACGAAAUUUUGGCCUCGUGAAAUUCUGCGUAGAGAACCCCAGUAAGCCCACCCCAACUUCUGUUCCACAAAACUGUGACAUAAUAAAUGAGUGUUGUUUUUAA